rnacentral:rRNA from 1 species
AGUGAACGCUGGCGGUAGGCCUAACACAUGCAAGUCGAACGGCAGCACAGUAAGAGCUUGCUCUUACGGGUGGCGAGUGGCGGACGGGUGAGGAAUACAUCGGAAUCUACUUUUUCGUGGGGGAUAACGUAGGGAAACUUACGCUAAUACCGCAUACGACCUACGGGUGAAAGCAGGGGAUCUUCGGACCUUGCGCGAUUGAAUGAGCCGAUGUCGGAUUAGCUAGUUGGCGGGGUAAAGGCCCACCAAGGCGACGAUCCGUAGCUGGUCUGAGAGGAUGAUCAGCCACACUGGAACUGAGACACGGUCCAGACUCCUACGGGAGGCAGCAGUGGGGAAUAUUGGAUAAUGGGCGCAAGCCUGAUCCAGCCAUACCGCGUGGGUGAAGAAGGCCUUCGGGUUUUAAAGCCCUUUUGUUGGGAAAGAAAAGCAGCAGGUUAAUACCCCGCUGUUCUGACGGUACCCAAAGAAUAAGCACCGGCUAACUUCGUG